GCCGGGCACGGUGGCGCGUGCCUGUAAUCCCAGCUACUCAGGAGGUUGAGGCAGGAGAAUCGCUUGAACCCAGGAGGCAGAGGUUGCAGUGAACCAGGAUUGCGCCACUGCACUCCAGCCUGGGCAACACAGCGAGACUCUGUCUCAU
rnacentral:SRP_RNA from 1 species